CCUACGGGAGGCAGCAGUGAGGAAUAUUGGUCAAUGGACGAGAGUCUGAACCAGCCAAGUAGCGUGAAGGAUGACUGCCCUAUGGGUCGUAAACUUCUUUUAUAAAGGAAUAAAACGAGGCACGUGUGCCUUUCUGCAUGUACUUUAUGAAUAAGGAUCGGCUAACUCCGUGCCAGCAGCCGCGGUAAUACGGAGGAUCCGAGCGUUAUCCGGAUUUAUUGGGUUUAAAGGGAGCGUAGAUGGGUUUUUAAGUCAGUUGUGAAAGUUGGCGGCUCAACCGUAGAAUUGCAAUUGAUACUGGCAGUCUUGAGUGCAGUUGAGGUAGGCGGAAUUCGUGGUGUAGCGGUGAAAUGCUUAGAUAUCACGAAGAACCCCGAUUGCGAAGGCAGCUUACUGAGCUGUGACUGACAUUGAUGCUCGAAAGUGUGGGGAUCGAACAGGAUUAGAUACCCCAGUAGUC
rnacentral:rRNA from 1 species